rnacentral:rRNA from 1 species
UACGGAGGGAGCGAACGUUGUUCGGAUUUACUGGGCGUAAAGGGCGCGUAGGCGGCCACCGCAAGUCGACUGUGAAAUCUCCGGGCUUAACCCGGAAAGGUCAGCCGAUACUGCGGGGCUAGAGUGCAGAAGGGGCAACUGGAAUUCUCGGUGUAGCGGUGAAAUGCGUAGAUAUCGAGAGGAACACCUGCGGCGAAGGCGGGUUGCUGGGCUGACACUGACGCUGAGGCGCGAAAGCUAGGGGAGCGAACGGG